GUGAGUGGUGAUUGGACGGAAUGGGUUUGUUGGCUCCUUGCUUGUGCAUCGAACUGCAAGCUCUCCGUCCUCUUCAUAGUUAUCCCCAAGCACGUCACGUGUCUUGUGGGUGUGUUCGGUAUCCUGUAUUGAUUACCAAUGCAAUGGUAUUCGGUGUUUUUGAUGCUCACAUCCGCCUAGUGCCCGUUAGGGUAAUGGGUGGACGAAAGGUUGGCCCCGUGCUCCCGGCAUGCCUAGCAAUGUUGUGUGGCUGCCAUGGUGCAUGGGGUUGUGCCCGUUCUUUCGGAUGCGGAUCGUUACGUGUGUCGGCGAGGGGUUUCGGCCUCUACUCGUCCGCUUUACGCACUUGUCCCUCGACACGAACGACCGCCGCACCCGUCUUGGCUCGAGAGCUUCACAGCUCCUCGAGAUUCCAUCGGNNNNNNNNNUGUCGUGAAGGAAUGC
rnacentral:misc_RNA from 1 species